AGUGAACGCUGGCGGCAGGCCUAACACAUGCAAGUCGAACGGCAGCACAGUAAGAGCUUGCUCUUACGGGUGGCGAGUGGCGGACGGGUGAGGUAUACAUCGGAAUCUACUUUUUCGUGGGUGAUAACGUAGGGAAAGUUACGCUAGUACCGCAUACGACCUACGGGGGGAAGCAGGGGUUCUUUGGACCUUGUGCGAUUGAAUGUGCCGAUGUCGGAUUAGCUAGAUGGCGGGGUAAAGGCCCAGCAAGGCGACGAUCCGUAGCUGGUCUGAGAGGAUGAACAGCCACACGGGCAGUGAGAAAGGGCCCAGACACCUACGGUGAGCAGCAGUGCGGAAUAUUGCGCAAUGGAGGAGAGCCUGAUCCAGCCAUACCGGGGAAGUGAUGAAGGAGUUCGGGUUGUAAAAUCCUUUAGGUGUGAAAGAAGUGAAGUACUUUAAUCCCCCGCGGUAAUGACGGUACCCAAAGAAUAAGCCCCGGCUAACUUCGUG
rnacentral:rRNA from 1 species